rnacentral:rRNA from 1 species
UACGGGGGGGGCAAGCGUUGUUCGGAAUUACUGGGCGUAAAGGGCUCGUAGGCGGCCAACUAAGUCAUACGUGAAAUCCCUCGGCUUAACCGGGGAACUGCGUCUGAUACUGGAUGGCUUGAGUUCAGGAGAGGGAUGCGGAAUUCCAGGUGUAGCGGUGAAAUGCGUAGAUAUCUGGAGGAACACCGGUGGCGAAGGCGGCAUCCUGGACCGAUACUGACGCUGAGGAGCGAAAGCCAGGGGAGCAAACGGG